GAGAGCACAAUACGAUGAAAGUUGUAAGUUGUGUUCGGGGGGAGUUAUUUUCUAUCGUUGGCCUCUAUGGUAGAAUCAUUCGAGGGCCUGAGAGGCGGUGGUUUACCAUGU
rnacentral:ncRNA from 1 species